GUCCAGGUGGUGGAACUGGUAGACACGUAGGCUUGAGGGGCCUAUGGGAGCAAUCCCGUGGAGGUUCAAGUCCUCUCCUGGACA
rnacentral:tRNA from 1 species